rnacentral:rRNA from 2 species
CCCAUAAAGUUGUUCUCAGUUCGGAUUGUAGUCUGCAACUCGACUACAUGAAGCUGGAAUCGCUAGUAAUCGUAGAUCAGCAUGCUACGGUGAAUACGUUCCCGGGUCUUGUACACACCGCCCGUCACACCACGAGAGUUUGUAACACCCGAAGCCGGUGGAGUAACCUUUUAGGAGCUAGCCGUCGAAGGUGGGACAAAUGAUUGGGGUGAAGUCGUAACAAGGUAGCCGUAUCGGAAGGUGCGGCUGGAUCACCUCCUUUCUAAGGA